rnacentral:rRNA from 1 species
UGCCAGCCGCCGCGGUAAUACGAAGGGUGCUAGCGUUGUUCGGAAUUACUGGGCGUAAAGAGCAUGUAGGCGGAUGAAUUAGUCAGAGGUGAAAGCCCCGAGCUCAACUUGGGAACUGCCUUUGAUACUGUUUAUCUAGAGUCCGAGAGAGGUUAGUGGAAUUCCCAGUGUAGAGGUGAAAUUCGUAGAUAUCUGGAGGAAUACCAAUGGCGAAGGCAGCAUUCUGGCUCGUAACUGACACUGAGAUUCGAAAGCGUGGGUAGCAAACAGGAUUAGAUA